GAGUUUGAUCGUGGCUCAGAUUGAACGCUGGCGGCAUGCCUAACACAUGCAAGUCGAACGGCAGCACUGGGAGCUUGCUCCCUGGUGGCGAGUGGCGGACGGGUGAGUAACGCGUAGGAAUCUGCCUCAUAGCGGGGGACAACUCGGGGAAACUCGAGCUAAUACCGCAUACUACUCGAGAGAGGAAAGCAGGGGACCUUCGGGCCGUUGCACUAUGAGAUGAGCCUGCGUUGGAUUAGCUAGUUGGUAGGGUAAA
rnacentral:rRNA from 1 species